CUUCCUGUAUCUGUGGCGCCUAGGGCUGGGCAUGUGUUCUGCUGGCCAGCUCCCCUCAUCCUUGCUCACAGCUGCCAGGUCGAUGUUGUCUUGGAGAACACAACUGAGGCGACACUGGAAUCCUGCCUCUUUUCUGGGAGGAAAAAGAAGGGCCACUUUUUAAAUUAACUACAAAAACAGCCACACUAUAAAAGGCUCCUUCCAAUCAUUUUCUAAGAGUUAGCAGUCUUUAAAGAACGAAAAAAGCCCCCUAUUAGACAAUUAAGAAGAGGAUACAAAUAUAACAUGUGCAACAAGCAAAUGGAAAUUCCGGUUAUAGUGACUCUACAUUUAUGAAGUAGAGAGUCCAGAGUGGUGAUAUUACAUGAUACGGAGACCUUACUUAUGCUUACACAGUACACGGAUGUGGGUUAAGAAAACAAGCUAAGUCACUGAGCACGUGCAGCAGCCAAAUUUCAAACAUUAAUAAAUUGGCUAUGUAGAAAAAAUAUAAAGCAAGGAAAAAUAAUUGACAUUAAAUUUUGCCUUGAAUAACACCUAUGAAGCCCUAAUUAAUUUCAAUAUGGAUUUCACAAAUGCAACAGAGAGCAGAAUUUGUCCUCUUGAGUCAUGAAAUUAAGAAGCUAAGUCUUGUUUUGUAUUUAAGUGACGCAUGAUACAUUUACAACACUGAGGAAUUUUCUUUGUUUCUUUUAUUUCCCUGCUCUUGUGUUGCAUAUAAAAAUAGCAAAAUAUAUGUUUUAAAAUUGCACAAAUAUGCUUUUACCCCAAGGCAAAAUGUCACUAAUUAUAGAAUUACAGUUUAAUGUGAGAAACUAGCCUUCUAUAUACUCUGAUUGAGGAAAUUUAUGUUCUAGGAACCAAAGUUGUGUGGGUUUCCAGACCUCUCUAUUUUUAAAUGUCCAGCAAUUAAUUUGAUGAACAUUGUUACCCUUUUGUAAACAAAAAAAAUAAAUCCACAUGACUAUAGAGCACAGUAUAGGAUUAACUGUGCAGUGCAGAAAGAGUGAGCAUGUUACAGAAUUUUUUUUAAAGAAAUCAUAUUAAUAGGACAAGUUAAUUAUACCGCUUUUCAGUGAUUAUUUUUCACAGAAUAUACAGUUGAACUGCACUUUGUAGAAAUAUAAAGAGUGCAGGACAUUGAACAUGGAAUAAAUGAAUUCUGAAAAAAAACUGCACCAACUAUAUAUUUUUCUCGGAACAGAAUAUUUGCAGUUUUUUCAACUAAAUUAUUCAAAAUAGUUUUUAUGUAACUCAAUACUCAUAAUUCAUUCAUUUAUAUUUAUGUAUGAACGUACAUUCUUUCGAAGUGUGAUCUAACAAAAUGGCAUUUGUUUACAUUUCUUGCAAAAUAACUGACAUGAUCCAAAUGCCAUUCCUUAAAUCACAAUUAGAUUUUAGUGUACUCCAAUUUUCAUAAAGCAUUGACAAUAAAUGGUAUGGAUUCCAUAAUGCCACUAUAUCUUUAUUUCAAGUAAAUCAGAAGAUAUCCAUGUGAUAUUUACCCUUUUAAAUAUAAAAUUGGUUACAUUUCAAAAUAAAACUACAAGUAUUGUAUUUAUAUGAACAAUUGCAUUUUGAUAACUGGAAUUUAAUAUUAUUGUUGAAAUCCAUAAAUUUUAAAUAAAUAUAAACAAUUUAAAAAAUAAUCUAGUUCUCCAGAUUACACAAAGUAAUUAGCUACAUGCAUCAUAAUUAUUACUGUAACAACAGCUAGUCAGAUGCCUGACAUUACAUAGUAUAUGGUCCAAUAAAUAAGGAUUUCAUAACAAAACUAAAAAUAAAGCUUGGGUCCAGAUACAAAUUAAACUAUAAAACAUUAUGUCAAAUGCUUGAGAAAUCUUCAUGUUCAUCUUUUAAAUUCUAAUUUAAAAUCCAAUAAAAUAGGUGUCAGAAAAUAAGGGAAACAAACUUGUUCAAAUUUGGUGUUAAAAAUAAUUGAAUUUGCCAAUUUUCUGAAAGGAUGUUUAAACUAACAUAGCUACAAAAAAUACAAAUAAAAAAAGCAAUGAUUGGUAUAGGCAAAAUAGUUCUAACAGUCUGAUUCAUGCUUAACAAGUAGACAUACUUAGCUUUUUUCAAAUUUAAGAUUUAUAUGUUAUGCAUAAUAAAAACGUGUAUAAUUUAAGGAAGCAAAAAAAACCAACAACCAAGAAACACAAUUAAUCUGCACACUACCUAUGUCAUAUUAAUUCACACAAAGACGACUUUUAAACAAAUCUGUCUAUAGUCUGAUGAUUGCAAAUGUAUGUAUAUAGAAUGUGUCCUAUGCUACUUAAUUCUUACCUCACCACAACAUAAGAAUGAAUACUUUUCAUGUCAUACUAUUCAAAGUGUACAAUUUCUUCUAAAGUCUGUGCCUUGCGCUGACUGCUGCUGUUGUCUGUAUAAUCUAUAAAUUAGCCUCUAUUUGCAAUAAAUGCUGCCUUUUCGAA